GGGGAGAGCAGAGGAUGGAUGUGCAUAAAAAGGACGAGAUUCAAUGAGAAGUCACAUCUUGAGAAAUGCACAUCUGACGACUGACAAGAUCCCAACACCGAUAGCCCUUGUCCUCAUCACUGUAACCUAAGAAGGCAUUCAAUAGAUUGAUCGGACAGUUUGGUGCGUGAAGAACGUAGCAAACACAACCAAAGUGUUUAGUAAUCCAUCCGUCCGAAAAUACUUGUCGGAGAAAUGGAUGUAUGUAGACAUAUUUCCGUUCAAGAUACAUUCAUUUUUAUCCAUUUGUGCGACAAGCAAUUCCGGGCGAAGGGAGUUGUCAGGGGCCCACAAAACGCUUGGAUUAUCACCAUGUAGAGCAAAGGAGGGAUGACUAUUGAUGAGAUAGGUGGCUACGAUCAUCAACGCACUAGCCGCCUCAUGAAGGCGGCGAUGCUUGCGCUUAGCAACACCAUUCUGACCACGAGCACAAGACGAGAACUGAGCAAUAUGCUUUUCUCAACAAGGAAUUCGUGCAGCAAAUGAGGGAUAUACACGAAAGGCAUGGGUAUGAGUGGAAAACUGAGUAUGAACCAAGGCGGCAAAUUUCUUACAGAUAGACCUCACUACAAGAAGGCAUAAAAUAUAUCGACUUGUGUCGAGAGAAAUCAUUAUAAAGAUAAUAUAGUGGCGAUGGCCUCCUUUCAAGGCAAAGGCAGCUCGAUCCCAAACAUCAGAGUGAACAAGAUCGAAAGGACGCCGAGACAGAGUCUCGCUCUAAGGAUAAGGUAAUUGAACGUGUUUACCCAACUAACAAUCUUGACUGUCUAAAGACACAUUACCAGAGACAGAUCCAAGGAGACCACGUCGAACUAAGGAUGAGUCAAGAACCACACAUGCGACUACGGCGAUCAUGCCAGAACGAGUGGGUAGACGAGGCAAGUGAGUCGAAGAGACUGGCGGCGGUGGUAGCGGAGGGAAGACGAAGCCUGGCACACUCCAGAGGGCGUGUGACUCAGCGCUAAGGGCCAACACCAAGUAGAGAACCCGUGUGCCGAUCCUAAAUUGGAACAAGAGUCGAAGUUGAGAAUGACCCUACAACCAAAUUAAAAAUCUAACCUCCUGAAAUGAGCUGCCGGUUAAGUAUCAUUAGCAGUAAGAACAUGUACAUGAGAAUUUAGAGGGCCAUUGCGGUGUCGACUGCCUGUGCGGCUAUGGCGGCGCGCAGCAGGUAACACAAGAUUUGGGAUUGAGGCGUCACACAUAGCAGCCCAAAGUCAGGCGAAGGAUGCCCAGCUGGACUGGUAGGGAGCAGAGAGUACAUGUGAGGUGUGGCGGAAGGUAUGAAAACAUUGUUGGGAGCGGAUUGUCGUUGUCGUCGUUUGUUGUACGUGGAGACAAAUGUCGAGGGGAUGGCAAUUGGGGAAGGCGAGCAGAUGUCACUGGGAGGAGAAAGGCAUCAUUUGCCACCGUACAAACAUAUGUCUGUCAGUCAUGACGGUGGACGGUUGUGGGCAAAUCUGGUAUCUGCAUGUGGGUUUGUUACUAGGCUUGGUUGGGUCAUAAUUAUGAUUUGUGCUAGAUUCCUUUGAAGAUUGAAGCUGGAGAACUUUAGGGUGUAGUAUGAUCAACCUGAGAUAUAUCGGAUUUAUAUAGGUAUAUAGUAUGAUUGGCAUGAGUGUGGUAUUGGUGGACUAUUGGAUCAUCUUGGAUAUUACUACUUGGAUUCUAGGUUGGAGGUAACUUGGGCACUUGGAUUUGUGAUAUUUUGACCUAAGCUUAUGGAUAUGGGCAUGUAGAUGAUAAAUGGAUCGGAGUUAUUUAGGGGAUUUUGGUACGAAGCCACCUUGCAAGAGGUUAUUGAGUGCAGGCAACCCUGUGUUGGUGAAGGACCCUUCCUUGGCGCCGGGGGAAAUGAAGUGACAGGGGUCUUAAGACUGUGAGGGCAAAAUUGGGACGAGUGACUCAGCUCAGGGUUCCUCUUUGCAAGUUCAAGUGAAAAGGCAGAGGAUGGCAGGGCGUGCUGCUCUUGAUAGCGUUUGCAUUGCUUCUUCAUACCUCUUGUGCACUCUUCGUUUCCCGUCUAUUCGACUUGGCGUCCUUACCUUGUUUGAGGGUUAUGAUCAACCUAAGAUAUAUCGGAUUUAUAUAUGUAUAGUAUGGUUGGCAUGAGUGUGGUAUUGGUGGACUAUUAGAUCAUCUUGGACAUUACUAGUUGGAUUCUAGGUUUGGAGGUAACUUGGGCACUUGGAUUUGUGAUAUUUUGACCUAAGCUUAGUAGCUUGUAUAUGCUCCAUUGGAUCAUCUUGGAUAUUACUACUUGGAUUCUAGGUUGGAGGUAACUUGGGCAAUUGGAUUUGUGAUAUUUUGACCUAAGCUUAGUAGCUUGUAUAUGCCCCAUAUAUGGAUAUGAGCAUGGAGAUGAUACAAAUGGAUCGGAGUUGGUAGACUUUGAUGAUUUUGCUAGCCCUCCCCAUAUGUAUGGGACUUAGAUAACUAUGAUACUAGGCUUGGUUGGAUUAUAAUUAUGAUUUUUGCUAGAUUCCUUUGAAGAUUGAAGCUGGAGAACUUUAGGGUGUAGUAUGAUCAACUUGAGAUAUAUCAGAUUUAUAUAGGUAUAUAUGAUUGGCAUGAGUGUGGUAUUGGCGAGCUAUUGGAUCAUCUUGGAUAUCACUACUUGGAUUCUAGGUUGGAUGUAACUUGGGCACUUGGAUUUGUGAUAUUUUUACCUAAGCUUAGUAGCCUGUAUGUGCCCCAUAUGGAUAUGAGCAUGGAGAUGAUACAAAUGGAUCGGAGUUGGUAGACUUUGAUGAUUUUGCUAGCUCUCGUGUAUUGGACUUAGAUAACUAUGAUACUAGGCUUGGUUGGAUCAUAGUUAUGAUUUUGUGCUAGAUUCCUUUGAAGAUUGAGGCACUACUUGGAAUCUAGGUUGGAGGUAAUUUGGGCACUUGGAUUUGUGAUAUUUUUUACCUAAGCUUAGUAGCUUGUAUGUGCCCCAUAUGGAUAUGAGCAUGGCGAUGAUACAAAUAGAUCGGAGUUGGUAGACUUUGAUGAUUUUGCUAGGCCUCCUCAUGUGUAUUGGACUUAGAUAACUAUGAUACUAGGCGUGGUUGGAUCAUAGUUAUGAUUUGUGUUGGAUUCCUUCAUUUGAAGAUUGAAGCUGGAGAACUUUAGGGUGUAGAGUUAUCAACGUGAGAUAUAUCGAAUUUAUAUCGGUAUAGUAUGAUUGAAAUGAGUGUGGUAUUGGUGGACUAUUGGAUCAUCUUGGAUGUUGCUACUUGGAUUCUAGGUUUAAGAUCACUUGGGCACUUGGAUUUGUGAUAUUUUGACCUAAGCUUAAUAGCUUGUAUGUGCCCCAUAUGAAUAUGAGCCAUGGAGAUGAUACAAAUGGAUCAGAGUUGGUAGACUUCGAUGAUUUUGCUAACCCUCCCCAAAAAUGUUAUGUACAAGAUCAUCAUGGUCGUGGAGGGAAAACUAGGCAUGACUCAACCCAAUGUAUAAGAAGAAAUAUGAUUUUGACCAUGCGAAUGGAAAUACAUGUACAUGCAGUGCCGACGGAAAAAAUGUUAAUUUAGGGGAUUUUGGUACGAAGCCACCUUGCAAGAGGUUAUUGAGUGCAGGCAACCCUGCGUUGGUGAAGGACCCUUCCUUGGCGCCGGGGGAAAUGAAGUGACAGGGGUCUUAAGACUGUGAGGGCAAAAUUUGGACGAGUGACUCAGCUCAGGGUCCCUCUUUGCAAGUUCAAGUGAAAAGGCAGAGGAUGGCAGGGCGUGCAGCUCUUGAUAGCGUUUGCAUCACUUCUUCAUACCUCUCGUGCACUCUUCGUUUCCCGUCUAUUCGACUUGGCGUCCUUACCUUGUUUGAGGGUUAUGUGUCACGGACUUGGUUCCGCAUCCCACGUUCCCUUGCUAGGAGUCCCUAGCCUUGGCGACAGGUAGCGACGUGCACUUGGGCGCUUGAUGUCCUUGGGUAAGGGGCGGUGCCCAAGCUUGCAACUAUGGCGACAACUUGCAUGGGAGCAGAUGAUGUAGGAACAAGGCAGCACAUGAGUAACUCGCAGCCAGGGAAAUGAUACCUAGCCGGACAUGCAGGCAGUGGAGAGUACACGGGAGGUGUGGGUAGGGGUGAAAACGCUGCCGGGAGCGUACUGCUGCUCCCGUUAGUUAGUCUUUAGAUCCAGAGUCAAGUGGCGAGGGUAUGACGAUAGUGGAAGCGGGGAAGAUUCCUUCCUUUGAAGAUUGAAGCUAGAGAACUUUCGGGUGUAGUAUGAUCAACCUAAGAUAUAUCAGAUUUAUAUAUGUAUAGUAUGGUUGGCAUGAGUGCGGUAUUGGUGGAUUGGCAUGAGUGCGGUAUUGGUGGACUAUUAGAUCAUCUUGGACAUUACUACUUGGAUUCUAGGUUGGAGGUAACUUGGGCACUUGGAUUUGUGAUAUUUUGACCUAAGCUUAGUAGCUUGUAUAUGCCCCAUUGGAUCAUCUUGGAUAUUACUACUUGGAUUCUAGGUUGGAGGUAACUCGGGCAAUUGGAUUUGUGAUAUUUUGAUCUAAGCUUAGUAGCUUGUAUGUGCCCCAUAUGAAUAUGAGCCAUGGAGAUGAUACAAAUGGAUCGGAGUUGGUAGACUUCGAUGAUUUUGCUAACCCUCCCCAAAAAUGUUAUGUACAAGAUAACUUGGGCACUUGGAUUUGUGAUAUUUUGACCUAAGCUUAGUAGCUUGUAUGUGCCCCAUAUGAAUAUGAGCCAUGGAGAUGAUACAAAUGGAUCGGAGUUGGUAGACUUCGAUGAUUUUGCUAACCCUCCGCAAAAAUGUUAUUUACAAGAUAACUUGGGCACUUGGAUUUGUGAUAUUUUGACCUAAGCUUAGUGGCUUGUAUGUGCCCCAUAUGAAUAUGAGCCAUGGAGAUGAUACAAAUGGAUCGGAGUUGGUAGACUUCGAUGAUUUUGCUAACCCUCUCCAAAAAUGUUAUGUACAAGAUCAUCAUGGUUGUGGAGGGAAAACUAGGCAUGACUCAACCCAAUGUACAAGAAGAAAUAUGAUUUUGACCAUGCGAAUGGAAAUACAUGUACAUGCCACCUUGCAAGAGGUUAUUGAGUGCAGGCAACCCUGUGUUGGUGAAGGACCCAUCCUUGGCACCAGGGAAAUGAAGUGACAGGGGUCUUAAGACUGUUAGGACAAAAUUGGGACGAGUGACUCAGCUCAGGGUUCCUCUUUGCAUGUUCAAGUGAAAAGGCGGAGGAUGGCAGGGCGUGCUGCUCUUGAUAGCGUUUGCAUCGCUUCUUCAUACCUCUCGUGCACUCUUCGUUUCCCGUCUAUUCGACUUGGCGUCCUUACCAUGUUUGAGGGUUAUGUGUCACGGACUUGGUUCCGCAUCCCACGUUCCCUUGCUAGGAGUCCCUUGCCUUGGCGACAGGUAGCGACGUGCACUUGGGCGCUUGGCCUCCUUGGGUAAGUUCGGGGUCGGUGCCCAAGCUUGCAGCUAUGGCGACAACUUGCAUGGGAGCAGAUGAUGUAGGAACAAGGCAGCACACGAGUAACUCGCAGCCAGGGAAAUGAUACCCAGCCGAACAUGCAGGCAAUGGAGAGUACACGGGAGGUGUGGGUAGGGGUGAAAACGCUGCCGAGAGCGUACUGCUGCUGCCGUUAGUUAGCCUUUAGAUCCAGAGUCAAGUGGCGAGGGUAUGACGAUAGGGGAAGCGGGGAAGAUUCCUUCCUUUGAAGAUUGAAGCUGGGGAACUUUUGGGUGUAGUAUGAUCAACCUAAGAUAUAUCGGAUUUAUAUAUGUAUAGUAUGGUUGGCAUGAGUGCGGUAUUGGUGGACUAUUAGAUCAUCUUGGACAUUACUACUUGGAUUCUAGGUUGGAGGUAACUUGGGCACUUGGAUUUGUGAUAUUUUGACCUAAGCUUAGUAGCUUGUAUAUGCCCCAUUGGAUCAUCUUGGAUACUACUACUUGGAUUCUAGGUUGGAGGUAGCUUGGGCAAUUGGAUUUGUGAUAUUUUGACCUAAGCUUAGUAGCUUGUAUGUGCCCAUAUAUGGAUAUGAGCAUGGAGAUGAUACAAAUGGAUCGGAGUUGGUAGACUUUGAUGAUUUUGCUAGCCCUGCCCAUAUGUAUUGGACUUAGAUAACUAUGAUACUAGGCUUGGUUGGAUUAUAACUAUGAUUUUUGCUAGAUUCCUUUGAAGAUUGAAGCUGGAGAACUUUAGGGUGUAGUAUGAUCAACUUGAGAUAUAUCAGAUUUAUAUAGGUAUAUAUGAUUGGCAUGAGUGUGGUAUUGGCGAGCUAUUGGAUCAUCUUGGAUAUCACUACUUGGAUUCUAGGUUGGAUGUAACUUGGGCACUUGGAUUUGUGAUAUUUUUACCUAAGCUUAGUAGCUUGUAUGUGCCCCAUAUGGAUAUGAGCAUGGAGAUGAUACAAAUGGAUCGGAGUUGGUAGACUUUGAUGAUUUUGCUAGCUCUCGUGUAUUGGACUUAGAUAACUAUGAUACUAGGCUUGGUUGGAUCAUGGAGAUUUUGUGCUAGAUUCCUUUGAAGAUUGAGGCACUACCUGGAAUCUAGGUUGGAGGUAACUUGGGCAGUUGGAUUUGUGAUAUUCUUUACCUAAGCUUAGUAGCUUGUAUGUGCCCCAUAUGGAUAUGAGCAUGGCGAUGAUACAAAUGGAUCGGAGUUGGUAGACUUUGAUGAUUUUGCUAGCCCUCCUCAUGUGUAUUGGACUUAGAUAACUAUGAUACUAGGCUUGGUUGGAUCAUAGUUAUGAUUUGUGUUGGAUUCCUUAAUUUGAAGAUUGAAGCUGGAGAACUUUAGGGUGUAGAGUUAUCAACGUGAGAUAUAUCGAAUUUAUAUAGGUAUAGUAUGAUUGAAAUGAGUGUGGUAUUGGUGGUCUAUUGGAUCAUCUUGGAUAUCGCUAAUUGGAUUCUAGGUUUAAGAUAACUUGGGCACUUGGAUUUGUGAUAUUUUGACCUAAGCUUAGUAGCUUGUAUGUGCCCCAUAUGAAUAUGAGCCAUGGAGAUGAUACAAAUGGAUCGGAGUUGGUAGACUUCGAUGAUUUUGCUAACCCUCUCCAAAAAUGUUAUGUACAAGAUCAUCAUGGUCGUGGAGGGAAAACUAGGCAUGACUCAACCCAAUGUAUAAGAAGAAAUAUGAUUUUGACCAUGCAAAUGGAGAUACAUGUACAUGCAGUGCCAACGAAAAAAAUGUUAAUUUAGGGGAUUUUGGUACGAAGCCACCUUGCAAGAGGUUAUUGAGUGUAGGCAACCCUGCGUUGGUGAAGGACCCUUCCUUGGCGUCGGGGGAAAUGAAGUGACAGGGGUCUUAAGACUGUGAGGGCAAAAUUGGGACGAGUGACUCAGCUCAGGGUUCCUCUUUGCAAGUUCAAGUGAAAAGGCAGAGGAUGGCAGGGCGUGCUGCUCUUGAUAGCGUUUGCAUCGCUUCUUCAUACCUCUCGUGCACUCUUCGUUUCCCGUCUAUUCGACUUGGCGUCCUUACCUUGUUUGAGGGUUAUGUGUCACGGACUUGGUUCCGCAUCCCACGUUCCCUUGCUAGGAGUCCCUAGCCUUGGCGACAGGUAGCGACGUGCACUUGGGCGCUUGACGUCCUUGGGUAAGUUCGGGGGCGGUGCCCAAGCUUGCAACUAUGGCGACAACUUGCAUGGGAGCAAAUGAUGUAGUAACAAGGCAGCACACGAGUAACUCGCAGCCAGGGAAAUGAUACCUAGCCGGACAUGCAGGCAGUGGAGAGUACACGGGAGGUGUGGGUAGUGUGAAAACGCUGCCGGGAGCGUACUGCUGCUGUCGUUAGUUAGCCUUUAGAUCCAGAGUCAAGUGGCGAGGGUAUGACGAUAAGGGAAGCGGGGAAGAUUCCUUCCUUUGAAGAUUGAAGCUAGAGAACUUUCGGGUGUAGUAUGAUCAACCUAAGAUAUAUCGGAUUUAUAUAUGUAUAGUAUGGUUGGCAUGAGUGCGGUAUUGGUGGAUUGGCAUGAGUGCGGUAUUGGUGGACUAUUAGGUCAUCUUGGACAUUACUACUUGGAUUCUAGGUUGGAGGUAACUUGGGCGCUUGGAUUUGUGAUAUUUUGACCUAAGCUUAGUAGCUUGUAUAUGCCCCAUUGGAUCAUCUUGGAUACUACUACUUGGAUUCUAGGUUGGAGGUAACUUGGGCAAUUGGAUUUGUGAUAUUUUGACCUAAGCUUAGUAGCUUGUAUGUGCCCCAUAUGAAUAUGAGCCAUGGAGAUGAUACAAAUGGAUCGGAGUUGGUAGACUUUGAUGAUUUUGCUAACCCUCCCCAAAAAUGUUAUGUACAAGAUAACUUGGGCACUUGGAUUUGUGAUAUUUUGACCUAAGCUUAGUAGCUUGUAUGUGCCCCAUAUGAAUAUGAGCCAUGGAGAUGAUACAAAUGGAUCGGAGUUGGUAGACUCUGAUGAUUUUGCUAACCCUCUCCAAAAAUGUUAUGUACAAGAUCAUCAUGGUCGUGGAGGGAAAACUAGGCAUGACUCAACCCAAUGUAUAAGAAAUAUGAUUUUGACCAUGCAAAUGGAGAUACAUGUACAUGCAGUGCCAACGAAAAAAAUGUUAAUUUAGGGGAUUUUGGUACGAAGCCACCUUACAAGAGGUUAUUGAGUGUAGGCACCCCUGCGUUGGUGAAGGACCCUUCCUUGGCACCGGGGGAAAUGAAGUGACAGGGGUCUUAAGACUGUGAGGGCAAAUUUGGGACGAGUGACUCAGCUCAGGGUUCCUCUUUGCAAGUUCAAGUGAAAAGGCAGAGGAUGGCAGGGCAUGCUGCUCUUGAUAGCGUUUGCAUCGCUUCUUCAUACCUCUCGUGCACUCUUCGUUUCCCGUCUAUUCGACUUGGCGUCCUUACCUUGUUUGAGGGUUAUGUGUCACGGACUUGGUUCCGCAUCCCACGUUCCCUUGCUAGGAGUCCCUAGCCUUGGCGACAGGUAGCGACGUGCACUUGGGCGCUUGACGUCCUUGGGUAAGUUCGGGGGCGGUGCCCAAGCUUGCAACUAUGGCGACAACUUGCAUGGGAGCAGAUGAUGUAGGAACACGGCAGCACACGAGUAACUCGCAGCCAGGGAAAUGAUACCUAGCCGGACAUGCAGGCAGUGGAGAGUACACGGGAGGUGUGGGUAGGGGUGAAAACGCUGCCGGGAGCGUACUGCUGCUGCCGUUAGUUAGCCUUUAGAUCCAGAGUCAAGUGGCGAGGGUAUGACGUAUGGGAAGCGGGGAAGAUUCCUUCCUUUCAAGAUUGAAGCUAGAGAACUUUCGGGUGUAGUAUGAUCAACCUAAGAUAUAUCGGAUUUAUAUAUGUAUAGUAUGGUUGGCAUGAGUGCGGUAUUGGUGGAUUGGCAUGAGUGCGGUAUUGGUGGACUAUUAGAUCAUCUUGGACAUUACUACUUGGAUUCUAGGUUGGAGGUAACUUGGGCACUUGGAUUUGUGAUAUUUUGACCUAAGCUUAGUAGCUUGUAUAUGCCCCAUUGGAUCAUCUUGGAUACUACUACUUGGAUUCUAGGUUGGAGGUAACUUGGGCAAUUGGAUUUGUGAUAUUUUGACCUAAGCUUAGUAGCUUGUAUGUGCCCCAUAUGAAUAUGAGCCAUGGAGAUGAUACAAAUGGAUUGGAGUUGGUAGACUUCGAUGAUUUUGCUAACCCUCCCCAAAAAUGUUAUGUACAAGAUAACUUGGGCACUUGGAUUUGUGAUAUUUUGACCUGAGCUUAGUAGCUUGUAUGUGCCCCAUAUGAAUAUGAGCCAUGGAGAUGAUACAAAUGGAUCGGAGUUGGUAGACUUCGAUGAUUUUGCUAACCCUCUCCAAAAAUGUUAUGUACAAGAUCAUCAUGGUUGUGGAGGGAAAACUAGGCAUGACUCAACCCAAUGUAUAAGAAGAAAUAUGAUUUCGACCAUGCGAAUGGAAAUACAUGUACAUGCCACCUUGCAAGAGGUUAUUGAGUGCAGGCAACCCUGUGUUGGUGAAGGACCUAUCCUUGGCGCCGGGGAAAUGUAGUGACAGGGGUCUUAAGACUGUGAGGGCAAAAUUGGGACGAGUGACUCAGCUCAGGGUUCCUCUUUGCAUGUUCAAGUGAAAAGGCGGAGGAUGGCAGGGCGUGCUGCUCUUGAUAGCGUUUGCAUCGCUUCUUCAUACCUCUCGUGCACUCUUCGUUUCCCGUCUAUUCGACUUGGCGUCCUUACCAUGUUUGAGGGUUAUGUGUCACGGACUUGGUUCCGCAUCCCACGUUCCCUUGCUAGGAGUCCCUAGCCUUGGCGACAGGUAGCGACGUGCACUUGGGCGCUUGGCGUCCUUGGGUAAGUUCGGGGCCGGUGCCCAAGCUUGCAGCUAUGACGACAACUUGCAUGGGAGCAGAUGAUGUAGGAACAAGGCAGCACACGAGUAACUCGCAGCCAGGGAAAUGAUACCUAGCCGAAUAUGCAGGCAAUGGAGAGUACACGGGAGGUGUGGGUAAGGGUGAAAAUGCUGCCGGGAGCGUACUGCUGCUGCCGUUAGUUAGCCUUUAGAUCCAGAGUCAAGUGGCGAGGGUAUGAUGAUAGGGGAUCGGGGAAGAUUCCUUCCUUUGAAGAUUGAAGCUGGAGAACUUUCGGGUGUAGUAUGAUCAACCUAAGAUAUAUCGGAUUUAUAUAUGUAUAGUAUGGUUGGCAUGAGUGCGGUAUUGGUGGACUAUUAGAUCAUCUUGGACAUUACUACUUGGAUUCUAGGUUGGAGGUAACUUGGGCACUUGGAUUUGUGAUAUUCUGACCUAAGCUUAGUAGCUUGUAUAUGCCCCAUUGGAUCAUCUUGGAUAUUACUACUUGGAUUCUAGGUUGGAGGUAGCUUGGGCAAUUGGAUUUGUGAUAUUUUGACCUAAGCUUAGUAGCUUGUAUGUGCCCAUAUAUGGAUAUGAGCAUGGAGAUGAUACAAAUGGAUCGGAGUUGGUAGACUUUGAUGAUUUUGCUAGCCCUGCCCAUAUGUAUUGGACUUAGAUAACUAUGAUACUAGGCUUGGUUGGAUUAUAAUUAUGAUUUUUGCUAGAUUCCUUUGAAGAUUGAAGCUGGAGAACUUUAGGUUGUAGUAUGAUCAACUUGAGAUAUAUCAGAUUUAUAUAGGUAUAUAUGAUUGGCAUGAGUGUGGUAUUUGUGAGCUAUUGGAUCAUCUUGGAUAUCACUACUUGGAUUCUAGGUUGGAUGUAACUUGGGCACUUGGAUUUGUGAUAUUUUUACCUAAGCUUAGUAGCUUGUAUGUGCCCCAUAUGGAUAUGAGUAUGGAGAUGAUACAAAUGGAUCGGAGUUGGUAGACUUUGAUGAUUUUUCUAGCUCUCGUGUAUUGGACUUAGAUAACUAUGAUACUAGGCUUGGUUGGAUCAUCCAAAACAUUAACGUACGCAUCAAGGCCCCUCGCUCGCGCGUGCCAUGUGUGAAGGAAGAGACAAUCGAUUUACUGUGCAGCCAGAUUUAUAUUGGCUACAAAAAACAAAGGUGACCCACCACGGUUGCAGCGAGCAAGAGGGAAUCGCCUCGAGCCCCUCCCUUCUCAUCUCUCCCACGCAACCUCCAUGGUGGGCGGCUAGCUGGGGUUGCCGCCGCCGCCGCCCCCGCCCCAUCGGCCCAUCCCUGUUCAUCCUACACCGGCCACCGGAGAAGGGGCGUUCCUCAGAUCCUCUUCUCCCCAAACCUUCUCGUCUUCGUGUUCCACCCGUCGUCCAUGAUGGCUGUAGACGGGGCGGGGAAGGGGAUGUCAUCGAGGUGCCGUUCGGGCGGCGAGUUGCAGAGGAGGGGCGCGGGCAAGAGGAUGGCAUUGAGGGUUCUUGUGAAUCGUGUUGGUCGUUCUAGGGCGUUGGAGUGGGCCAAAUACCUGACGACGGGUAAGAUGGAGGUGUUGUCCGAACAGUGGUUGCUCGGCUGCGACCAUAUGACCUUUUCCUAUUGUAUUAUCAGCUGUGUGACGAGAGGAUAGACCGACCAAUCUGAAGCUGCUACUCCCUUAUUCAUCAUGUAAUAAAAAAGAGCCUUUGUGAUACAGAACAUGAUUUAAUUAUCUUUUACAACUCCCAUUUGGAUUCGUUCAGUGUCCACAGCUCUAGACAUCGAUCUCAUCUACCUCAUCUGUAUGGUAAUGGUUCAACGAUUAAAUGUCUGUUCUUGGUAGUUUUUUGAGUAUGUCUACUGAAGUUGUAAGUUUUUUGUAUUCUAAUUUGGUUGAGAUACUUAAACAGUGAUUUGUUACUUCACCUGUCGAUAAAUGUAGGGCUAAAGCAAUAACUGGGAAAUUAUGAAUUCCAUGUACUUGUCAUAGCCGAUUCUUUGUUGUUCAGUAGUUUGUUUCAAGAGUGCAGGUCAUUUUUCUAUAAGCUGGAUGAAUAGCUCCCUUGUUCAGUAUGUACUGAAUUUUACUUGCUAUUUUAUUAAUCCUAUUAAGCAAAGAUGCCUUUUCUGCAUUGUCACACAUUAAUGCUCCUAUUUGAAGGACCCAGGAGAAAAUUCAGCGUUUGUACUACUAUGUUUCCAUAGUAGUUAUGCUCUUUCUCUGAAAUAAGAACAAUCAAAUAGAAAUAUAGUGUUGAUUCUUCUCCUUUUGUAACAAUUUGUUCUUAGCUAUAAUAUUAACAUGAAUUGUAUUUGUGAAGUUGUCCCUAAGCAGAACAAGUUGGCAUGGAGCAGUCUGUUCUAAAAGUAAUGUAUCCAUAUGUUACUGCCAAUCAGGUGUUUCCUUUCUUUCUUUACCUGAAGCUCUAUAUGAAUUGUUCUCUGAGUGCAAGUGGUCCAUGUGGAUUUUUAACAUAUCAUGCUAUGUACGAGUGAUGGUUCUCUAUUUCCAGAUUAGAUAUGAUGGAUAGUGUCAGAUUACUGAGCACCAUUUACAUAUCCCUGAAGUUAUAUUACGCUGUUGUGUUAUAUAUACAAAAAUAGUUAUUGUGGAUGCUGAUGCAUGCAACUAUAGGAGGAAAAAAUAAUUGUUUUUGUCGAAGGUCUUGGUUUCUGCGGGAUGGAUCUACGCGUUGCCCUCUUGGGUUAUCAUCCUUGUUUUGCCCAAAAUGACUAAGCUUCAGUUACUCUGUUUUGAUUCCCUAACUCCAGCAUUAUAUGUAGUCGGACUAACCCAGUAGUACUAAUAACACUUUGGUUUCCCUAAGCUUCAAUUUAGUUUUGUUUUCGCAUUACUUCUUUUCCAUAUGGGUUGGAGUGGGAGCUAUGAUAUUCUCUUUUCACGAUAUGAUUAUCUGAAAGAUUACUAAGCAAACAAUUAUUUUUAAUACACAUAGGAUAGGGACAUGAGUUUUAACUUCCUCUGGUUGUGAGGAGAUAAUAAAGAAGCUGAGAGAUCGACUGUUUGAGAAGCGGGUUCAGGAGAUCAAAGCCAACAACAACCUAGGCUUUGAAAAAGAUGUUUACAAUGAAAAACUGAGGAAGUUGUGAUGGACUGAAAGAUUUGCUUGAAGCAAAGGCAUCCACCUGGGAUAUAUAUGGCUAGAAGCUACAGCGAGCAACUGCUUCUUUUCAGCUGCUAAUGAGAUAUUUAUGUGUUCAUAGGGGAGUGCAUCGGGGCAUCGGGCGGUCGUAUGAGAAGAAGUGCGUUCAGCUGAGGACCCAUGAUGCCAACGGUGCAGAGCCGUUCACCAUCGAGAGGAUCAGGGCUGCCAUUAGGACCUUCGAGACGAAGCUCAACAUCUCCGCCGCCUUUCUCGACGAAAUCUCCCAAAGGCUCAUUGCCGCUUGCGAUAACUCAUAGCGUUCCUCUCCUUGCCGUGCGGUUGAAGGGAGGCAUCAGAGGCAUGCCGCCGCCGCCAGGGCUGAAACGUGCAGCAAUUUCUAUUGUUGUAUGUUAUGUUGCCAUGCAACAAGAUGCUUUUGUUGAUGGUAUUAUAUUGUUGUGUGUUACCUGUGAUGUGAUGAAACACUGAUGAGAUUUUAGGUUCUUACUCAUGUGAUGCAUCAACAUAAUAAGUUUAUGAAAAUUUACAUGUAUGUGCUAUCCAGAUUAAAAAAGAAGUUGAAAGGGUUGUUCCCUACCUGCCA